rnacentral:misc_RNA from 1 species
CGCGAUUCAAAAUAAAACUGUGACGUCACGGUUAGCUGCCGGUCACUCUUAACGUAUUCAUUUUAUAACCAUCUUCAGUGAAAAUCCAGAGGACACGAUGACAGACGGCGGAGCAAAACCAAAAGUCGGAAGGCGCAAGGCGGAAACACCAAGUGUUAAAAUGCGUGAUUUUAAGAACUGGAUCGCUAAAGUCGCAGACCCUUUCUGGAAGAAGACUUUUGAAGAACUUCAAUCAUUGAGUCCAGACUAUCCCCAUGAUGUUUCACAAAUGCCCCAUAAUGUAAAGAAGAACAGAUAUAAUAAGAUCUAUGCAUUCGACAGAACUCGAGUGAAGACUCCCAUGAAUGAACGUGAUGAUACCAAGAACUAUAUAAACGCCAACUACAUCGACGGGUUCAAUCACAAACAUGAAUAUAUCGCUACCCAAGGACCGUUGAAGAAUACGUUGAACGAUUUCUGGAGGAUGGUUUGGGAACAUGAUUCCAAAGUCAUUGUGAUGCUCUCUGGUAUUCAAGAGAAACAGAAGCAAAAGGUGUUCCGAUACUGGCCACGAUAUGUAGGAGAUACAAUGGAAUAUGGCAAAAUAGCUGUUAAAAUGACAUAUGCAGGUCAAGUGAACAAAUAUAUUACCCGGAUAUUCACUAUGAAAAAGGGACAAGAAGAGCGACAAGUUCAUGUUUACUUCAUGCCAGGCUGGGAGGAGUUUGAUGCCAACAUGUCAACGGAAACCCUCAUAGACGUUAUUAAGAAAAUCCGCAUACAGAUCAACACGUCUCCUCAAGCUCCGGUCAUUGUGCACUGCAGUUGCAAUACAGACUUGUACACUGGACCUUGAACAAAAUGAUUCAGAAGAAGAUCGCUGGAGAGCCCGCAACCGCUGACCAUGUAUACAGGGAUACAUCUAUCGAACCUGAUCAAGAAGAUAUAAAAAGAAAAUCAUACUAGAUCCAUAUCAGUCUUUAAACGGGCACAGCGUGUGUGUAUGUGCGAGUGUGCUUUUGUGUGCAUGUGCGUGCGUAUGUGCACGAGCGCGUUUCUGUUUGAGUGCAUUGUUCCAGUAUUUUUCUGUUUCCCUAUCUGUUUGUUUUAUUUUAUUUUUUUAUUUCGGAACUCCUAAUAUCUAUGUACAACAACUGUUUGUAAAAUAUUAAUGGAAGCAUAUACAAGUUCAUAUUCGUGGGUGAGUUCAGGGGAUUUCGCCCAAACUUUCUUUGAUAACCUUGUUUUAAAAACAAAUUUCAUAUUUCAUCAGUUACAAAUCAUUCCCUUUAUGUUAUGUGUAUGUUAAAUGGCCCACAAAACGUAUUUUGAACCACCCUUUUCUUAAAUUUGCUGGAUCUGCAAGUGUUAUUAUUGUGAAUUCUUUUUGCCAUCAUAUCAGAAAUUAAUCACUUUGUACUCAAAUGAAGUUUAGUGAGAUACGCUAAAUUGGGAUUUUUAUGUAUACAAUUAUAGUGGGGAAAACCUGCGAUUUGUAUAUUAAAUGUGAAAAAGGAAAUCUUGUUAACACUUUAAUAUUAUGUAAAUGAAUAUUAUUAUUAGUAAUAAACUUCUACACUUAAA